AUGGCGAAGCCCCAUCUCUACCAAAAAUACAAAAAAUUCGGAUGUGGUGGCAUGUUCCCAUAGUCCCAGCUACUUAAGAGGCUGAGGGGAUUUACCACAGUUGAAGACACUUUUCUAAAAAUAUAAAAAACAUUGCAGCGACUGCUCUGUGCCACAUUAAAGUUAUGACACAAACUUAAUGGCAGGUAAUUAUGUAAAUGGAAGCUCCUCCAAUUGUGCUAAAUAUUAAUGAUGGUCCUUGUGUUCUUUGAUUCAUUUUUGUGCUCAGAUCCAUUAACAUGUUUGUGACUGCCCUUUCUAGACAAAUGUGGAGGAAGAAAAAAGCCACACUUUCAGCAUCAUCUCCAAUAAUGAGUCUCUGCAGUAGAGUUCAGAAUAUGACACAAAGUACAUGUGCAAUAAAUAUUUUAAAAAAGGCAUGCUGAAAAGAUGAGACUCUUUUUACUCAUUAAUACCAAAUUUAUCUGCAGCAAAUAGAGAACAUUUAACUUGAUCGAGUUCCAAGAUUUCAAUUCCUGAGUGUGAUUGUGAUCUACAUUUGACUUCUCCAGAUGACGCAUUUAUCAAUUACUUUAGAGUAUUAGAAAAAAUCAUGAGUUAGUGCUAAUUCUUUUUUUUUUUUUUUUUCGAGAUGGAGUCUUGCUCUGUCACCCAGGCUGGAGUGCAGUGGCAUGAUCUCGGCUCACUGCAACUUUCGUCUGCCUGGUUUGAGCAAUUCUCCUGCCUCAGUCUCCUGAGUAGCUGGAUUACAGGCGCCCGGCACCACACCCGGCUAAUUUUUGUAUUUUUUUUUUUUUAGUAGAGACGGAGUUUCACUUUGUUGGCCAGGCUGGUCUUGAACUCCUGACCUCGUGAUCCACCUGCAUCAGCCUCCCAAAGUGCUGGGAUUACAGGUGUGAGCCACCACACCUGGCCUCUAUUUUUUAAAA
rnacentral:lncRNA from 10 species